GUGGUUUUUGUUUUUGGUUAUUUUUAUGUGGUGAAUUACAUUUAUAGACUUGCGUAUGUUGAACCAGCCUUGCAUUCCCGGGAUGAAUCCUACUUGAUCAUGAUGGAUAAGCUUUUUGAUGUGCUGUUGCAAUUGGCUUGCCAAUAUUUUAUUGAAGAUUUUUGCAUCUAUGUUCAUCAUGGACAUUGGCCUGAAGUUUUCUUUUCUUGUUGAGUCUCUGCUAGGUGUUUGCAUCAGGAUGAUGUUGGUCUCAUAGAAUGAUUUGGGAAGGAUUCCCUCUUUUUGGAUUAUUUGAAAUAGUUUCAGAAGAAAUGGUACCAGCUCCUCUUUGUGUGUCUGGUAGAAUUCGGCUGUGAACCCAUCUGGACCUGGGCUUUUUUUGUGUGGUAGGCUCUUAAUUGCUGCCUCGACUUCAGACCUUGUUAUUGGUCUAUUCAUAGUUUGGCUUCCUCCUGGUUUAGGCUUGGGAGGACACAUGUGUCUAGGAAUUUAUCCAUUUCUUCCAGGUUUACUAGUUUAUGUGCAUAGAGUUGUUUGUAAUAUUCUCUGAUGAUGGUUUGAAUUUCUGUGGACUCUGUGGUGAUUUCAUUUUUAUCAUUUAUUAUUGCAUCUAUUUGGUUGUUCUCUUUUUUAUUUUUUAUCAGUCUGGCUAGUGGUCUGUCUAUUUUGUUGAUCUUUUCAAAAAGGCCAUCAGUGUACUUAGCCUUACAUGUUCCUAACUCACCAAUAAACAAUGUUUGGAAUUCAGCCUUGAGAAUGACUACUGCUUUCGGUAACUGUUCCAAAUGCAUCUCAGAGUGGGUUUACGCACGAGUGUGCAUGCACUCACUAUCUUUUUAUCUAGGCUUCUCUCUCAGUACUAUAUUCAGUGCACUAGCAGGGCCCUGGUAGAAGAGUGCCUGUAGGAAAGCUCCUUCCCUCACACUGCGCAACAUUAUAAUUAUACAGACUCUACAGACAAGCUACAGCCCAGGCGCCUGCAUAGAAACAAGUACUGAUGCUCUUUCCAGCAGCUUCCCUUCAACAAACAGGAAUUAGAAAUGUCCAUUCCUCAGAUUAUGCCCCAUUACACUAAUUUUUAGUUUCUUUCCAAUAACAGAGAAAGUAAAUGAAAGGGACCAGGGGCUUAUGUCUUAACAUUUUUCACUUGGUGGCAAAUACUCAAGAAAUGAUGGCCACUAAAGCCACAAACCACAAGGUCCCUUGCUAGGUAUGUGUGAUAUAAUGAAAAGAACCUUGCACAGGAGCCCAGGGCCCUGAGAUCUUGUCCUGGUGUGAUCACUACCUUGCUCUGCCUCAGUUCCCCCCAACUGGAGACUGGGGGGUUAGACUAAAUGAUUUUGAAAAGCCCUUCCAAUCAAGGGCUUAUAUGGGUUGUAAAAAGAGUCUUUUAGUCAAGGGCUGUGGCUCUGAACUUUUUUUGGGUCAUGAGCCCAUUUGAAAUUUAGUAGAAUAUUAUGGACCAUCUUCCCAGAAAAGGCAUGGUGUCAUGGAAUUGUGCAUACUACCUCAGGGGCAUCAUGGAGUUUCUGAGUCCAUGGACACUGAGUUAAGAACUGCUCCUUUCAGGAGAUAAAAGUGUUAAUCUGCAGAAGGCAAACAUGAAGCAACAGUGAUAGCUACCUGGCCUCAAUCCACCUUAACAAUUUUUCUAGCAUUUGACCCUAAUACAGAACUCCUGUAGGGCGAAACCC
rnacentral:lncRNA from 1 species